rnacentral:rRNA from 1 species
ACCUUGUGGGAAGUCGGGGGGACCACCCCCCAAGGCUAAAUACUCCUUAGUGACCGAUAGCGCAUAGUACUGUGAAGGAAAGGUGAAAAGGACCCCGGGAGGGGAGUGAAAGAGAACCUGAAACCCUGUGUUUACAAGCUGUGGAAGCACGUUAAGGUGCAACCGCGUACUUUUUGUAGAACGGUCCGGCGAGUUGCGGAUGCUGGCGAGGUUAAGGAGUAAAGCUCCGGAGCCGAAGCGAGAGCGAGUCUUAAUAGGGCGUAAAGUCAGCAUGUGCAGACCCGAAACCGGGUGACCUAUCCAUGUCCAGGUUGAAGUUCCCGUAAAAGGGAAUGGAGGACCGAACGCACAUCCGUUGAAAAGGGUGGCGAUGAGGUGUGGAUAGGGGAGAAAUUCCAAUCGAACCCGGAGAUAGCUGGUUCUCCUCGAAAUAGCUUUAGGGCUAGCCUCGUAUUAGUUUAGCGGAGGUAGAGCACUGAAUUUCCUAGGGGGCGUCAAAGUCUACCGAAGAAUAUCAAACUCCGAAUGCCGCAUAAAUGAUGUACGGGAGUCAGACUGCACGAGAUAAGUUGGGUAGUCAAAAGGGAAAGAGCCCAGACCUACAGCUAAGGUCCCAAAGUGUGUGUUAAGUGGAAAAGGAUGUGGGAUUUCGAAGACAACUAGGAUGUUGGCUCAGAAGCAGCCACACAUUCAAAGAGUGCGUAAUAGCUCACUAGUCGAGAGGUCCUGCGCCGAAAAUGUCCGGGGCUAAAACACAACACCGAAGCUUAGGAAUGUAGUAAUACAUUGGUAGAGGAGCAUUCUUAAAGGAAUGAAGCAGUACCGAUAAGGAGCUGUGGACUUUUAAGAAGAGAGAAUGCCGGAAUGAGUAGCGAGAUGGAGGUGGGAAUCCUCCAGGCCGAAUAUCCAAGGUUUCCAGGGUAAAGCUGAUCUGCCCUGGGUAAGUCGGGGCCUAAGGCAAGGCUGAGAAGCGUAGCUGAUGGACAACAGGUUUAGAUUCCUGUACCACAUGGUAUCAGAACUGUGGGGACGCAGAGGGAUAAGAUGACCGGGGGACAGAUUCCCGGGCAAGCGCAGGAGGUGUCAGGCAGGCAAAUCCGUCUGACAAGCCAAAGGCGUGACGCGGACCGAACGAAAGUAGGGAAGCAUACGAUUCCAGCUGCCGAGAAAAGCCGCUAUUGUGUACCAUGUGCCCGUACCGUAAACCGACACAGGUGGAUGAGGAGAGAAUCCUAAGGCCGGCGGGAGAAGCAUUGUUAAGGAACUCGGCAAAAUGACCCCGUAACUUCGGGAUAAGGGGUGCCAGAGAGAUCUGGCCGCAGAGAAUAGGCUCAAGCAACUGUUUAGCAAAAACACAGGUCUAUGCGAAACCGUAAGGUGAUGUAUAUGGGCUGACGCCUGCCCGGUGCUGGAAGGUUAAGAGGAGAGGUUAGAGCAAUCGAAGCUUUGAAUUGAAGCCCCAGUAAACGGCGGCCGUAACUAUAACGGUCCUAAGGUAGCGAAAUUCCUUGUCGGGUAAGUUCCGACCCGCACGAAAGGCGUAAUGAUUUGAGCGCUGUCUCGACAAUGCACCCGGUGAAA